GCCGACAUGGCACAGUGGUAGCGCAGCUCACUCGUAAUGAGCAGGUCCUCGGUUCAGAAUCCGAGUGUCGGCU